rnacentral:rRNA from 1 species
GUCCACGCCAUAAACGAUGUCAACUAGGUGUUGGGUGGGUAAAACCAUUUAGUACCGGAGCUAACGCGUGAAGUUGACCGCCUGGGGAGUACGGCCGCAAGGUUAAAACUCAAAGGAAUUGACGGGGACCCGCACAAGCGGUGGAUGAUGUGGAUUAAUUCGAUGCAACGCGAAAAACCUUACCUACCCUUGACAUGUCCAGGAGCCCUUAGAGAUUUGGGUGUGCCCGAAAGGGAGCUAGAACACAGGUGCUGCAUGGCUGUCGU